GCGGUACUCUGACCGUGCAAAGGUAGCAUAAUCAUUUGCCUUAUAAUUGAAGGCUAGUAUGAAUGGUUUGACGAGAAUUAAGCUGUCUCUUUUCAACUAAAUAUAAUUUUAUUUAUAGGUGAAGAAGCCUAUAUUCUAUUGAAAGACAAGAAGACCCUAUCGAGCUUAAAAGAAUUUAAUAAAUUUAUCAUAUAUUUAUAAAAAAAUAAAAUUAUUAAAGAUUUUGGUUGGGGCGACUGAGGAACAAGAAAAGCUUCCUUUAUUUUCAUUAAAACUUACAAGUAUUGAUCCAAUAAAUUUGAUUAAAGAAAUUAGUUACCGUAGGGAUAACAGCAUAAUCCUCUUUGAGAGCCCUUAUCGAAAAGGGGGUUUGUGACCUCGAUGUUGGACCAGAAUAUCCAGAAGAUGCAGCCGUCUUCAAUGGUUGGUCUGUUCGACCAUUAAAAUUCU
rnacentral:rRNA from 1 species